AGUCCUGAGGUGUUUCACAUCAAAAUGCAAGUUUGAAGAAGGACCCUACAGGGUCCCGGGGCUU
rnacentral:tRNA from 1 species